CACGGGGGGAGCGAACGUUGUUCGGAAUCACUGGGCGUAAAGGGCGUGUAGGCGGUUCGGUAAGUGGAAUGUGAAAUCCCCCGGCUUACCCGGGGAACUGCAUCCCAUACUGCUGGACUUGAGUGCGGGAGAGGAUGGAGGAAUUCCUGGUGUAGCGGUGAAAUGCGUAGAUAUCAGGAGGAACACCGGUGGCGAAGGCGGUUCUCUGGGCCUUACCUGACGCUGAGGAGCGAAAGCGUGGGGAGCGAACAGG
rnacentral:rRNA from 1 species